AAAACGACUCUCGGCAAUGGAUAUCUAGGCUCUCGCAUCGAUGAAGAACGUAGCGAAAUGCAAUACUUGGUGUGAAUUGCAGAAUCCCGCGAAUCAUCGAGUUUUUGAACGCAAGUUGCGUCUGAAGCCAUUCGGCCAAGGGCACGUUUGCCUGGGUGUCACGC
rnacentral:rRNA from 1 species